AAGGCAAUUCGCGUUUAACUCUCCCUCAAGGGCUUCAGCUAGCCAACGUCCCUUUGCAUUCUCUUUCAUGAGACUGGCGAUGAUGCACAGAGGAACGUGUUAAAGUUGAAUCCCGGCGGGGGGAGUUGGACGCGACCUGCCUU
rnacentral:pre_miRNA from 1 species